GAGGAGGAGGCUGCCACCGCGUCGGUAGUUGCUCCUGCUGUGAAUUUUUCAGCUUCCCGGGCCCGAGUGUUUGCCCAGCUUUGGAACUGCGGGAGCCGGUGACUCACCUCUCGCUGCUGGAAACAAAGCGCAGCUGCCAUCUCCCCGAGCGCGCCAUGUGGCCAUCCCGGCGCCCUCGCCCAGCCUCGGGUCCGCGGGCGGCAGCGCGCAGCCACGCAUCUCACGGGGAAGCUGGAAAGCGCGGCGGCUGUUGUCCAGAGCCCAGAGGGGCUUAGGGCUGCUCCCAGGCGCGCCACGCUAGAGACUUUGGCGGUACUGUGCCUAAAGAAGACAGCUGCCAUCUCAGAAUGGACUGAGUCUUGGAGGAAAAGCUGAAAGAGCAUUCCUUCAUUUGGUCAUUCAACAAGUUUUUGUGAGUUUAUAUGUGUGAGACACUGAGUAUGCACAGACCUACCAGUCUAAUUUAGAUUUGUUUGAUCCUCAAACUGCUUGCCACCUGGAGAGAGAGAAAGAAAAUAUAUAAUAAUGAAACAAGGAAAAAGACAUGUCAUAUAAGCUCC